rnacentral:rRNA from 1 species
ACGCCAGUCUGCAUGGAGCCGACCUUGAAAUACCACCCUUUAAUGUUUGAUGUUCUAACGUGGACCCGUUACCCGGGUUGCGGACAGUGUCUGGUGGGUAGUUUGACUGGGGCGGUCUCCUCCUAAAGAGUAACGGAGGAGCACGAAGGUUGGCUAAUCCUGGUCGGACAUCAGGAGGUUAGUGCAAUGGCAUAAGCCAGCUUGACUGCGAGCGUGACGGCGCGAGCAGGUGCGAAAGCAGGUCAUAGUGAUCCGGUGGUUCUGAAUGGAAGGGCCAUCGCUCAACGGAUAAAAGGUACUCCGGGGAUAACAGGCUGAUACCGCCCAAGAGUUCAUAUCGACGGCGGUGUUUGGCACCUCGAUGUCGGCUCAUCACAUCCUGGGGCUGAAGUAGGUCCCAAGGGUAUGGCUGUUCGCCAUUUAAAGUGGUACGCGAGCUGGGUUUAGAACGUCGUGAGACAGUUCGGUCCCUAUCUGCCGUGGGCGCUGGAGAACUGAGGGGGGCUGCUCCUAGUACGAGAGGACCGGAGUGGACGCAUCACUGGUGUUCGGGUUGUCAUGCCAAUGGCACUGCCCGGUAGCUAAAUGCGGAAGAGAUAAGUGCUGAAAGCAUCUAAGCACGAAACUUGCCCCGAGAUGAGUUCUCCCUGAGACUUAGAGUCUCCUGAAGGAACGUUGAAGACGACGACGUUGAUAGGCCGGGUGUGUAAGCGCAGCGAUGCGUUGAGCUAACCGGUACUAAUGAACCGUGAGGCUUAACCUUACA